rnacentral:lncRNA from 1 species
AGCGGCGGGGACUGUGUGCACUGGGGCGGUCGCGAGAGGAAGUUCUUCCCCAGAAGGGCUUUUGGGAAGGGGAGGUGACACACUGGUGGGGAAGGUAGCAGCUUGAUGGCAAGGACUUUGGACUCGACGAGGCUGGGGAGACUCUCCCUAAAAAGUGGCCCGUGUAAGCCCCGCGACGGGGUCUGCCUAGGAGCUGACCCUGGCGUGCGCCUGGGCGGGUCACCUGGCGGAGCAGAGGUCGGCUCGGGCUCGCCUGUGAGGGAAGAGCUCAGCGUAGCUUUCUGCUCUGCUCGGGCACGUGCAAUUUUACGAUUUUAGAUCCUUUCAGUCACUUUUUAUUAAAAGUGGUGGUGUUCUGUAAAAGUGAUACAAAGGAUCCGUGACAGGUAAAACCAACGUGUAACAGGCUCACAAAUGUGAGAAAUUACUUGGGGGGAAAAAAAAACCCCUUUGCUGCGGAAUUAGGUUGCGUUUCGGACUUUUGGUGUCCGUCUAAGUAGACACUUUGACUUUUGGAAAUUGGAUCAAAAGUUUGGGGACUCUGGUACCAGUUUCAACGAUAACGUAAAUGCUAUUCAAAUUAACUUAAUGUUUUUAGAGUAAUCAGGAGUUCUUCUGAAUUGUUCCUCGUUUAGCAUUUUUACCAAGAUUAAGCCAUCAAAAAAAAAAAAAAGAUUAAUGUAUCACAUUAUGAUUUAGUUUCUCACUUCUCAUUUCAGUUGAAGGAAACUGAAGAUAUACGUGCAGUGCCACAUAUAUAGGGUCUGGUACAUCAAGGAGACCUCGAGUCAGGUUUCCAUGGGCCACUCUAAAUUCAUUCAAAUUGCCAUCCUUUUCCAUGGCAACAGUGGCUUCUGUUACCACAGGGCACACAACAGGAAACCUGUAUCUACCAGGAAUUGUCACAGAAUCAAGAAGUCCAAAAUCUGGGAAAAACUGUAUAGGUCAUCAUUUCAGCCUCCUACCUCCCACCUUCAGACAGAGCUGUCCCUUAGUCACUCAAAUGCAUAGAAAUUUUGAAAGAUUGCCACACAUUAGUGUUUGGUUGCAGGAUUCCUGGUAGAGUAUAUGUAUAUUUUUUAAAUGACAUUCCCUGCUGUAUGUUAUUUGAAUAAAACAACCAAAAAAAUCUCUCUUAAACCA